rnacentral:rRNA from 1 species
UGGGAGUGAGAAUGUUGGCAUGAGUAGCGAGAUGUGGGUGGGAAUCCCACAGGCCGUAAACCCAAGGUUUCCAGGGGAAGGUUCGUCCGCCCUGGGUUAGUCGGGACCUAAGCUGAGGCCGAAAGGCGUAGGUGAUGGACAACAGGUUGAUAUUCCUGUACUACCGAUAACCGGUUGAGAGAAGGGAUGACACAGUAGGAUAAGCUAAGCACACUGUUGGUUAUGUGUGCCCAAGCAUUGAGGCAGUCAAAGUAGGCAAAUCCGCUUUGAUAAUGCUGGGAUGUGAUGGGGAGCGAAAUUUAGUAGCGAAGUAGCUGAUUUCACACUGUCAAGAAAAGUCUCUAUCGAGGUUAAAGGUACCCGUACCGCAAACCGACACAGGUGGGUGAGGAGAGUAUCCUAAGGCCAGCGAGAGAACUGUUGUUAAGGAACUCGGCAAAAUGACCCCGUAACUUAGGGAUAAGGGGUGCCACCAUCAGGUGGCCGCAGAGAAUAGGCCCAAGCGACUGUUUACCAAAAACAUAGGUUUCUGCUAAGUCGCAAGACGAUGUAUAGGAGCUGACGCCUGCCCGGUGCUGGAAGGUUAAGGGGAUCUGUUAGAGCAAUCGAAGCAGUGAACUUAAGCC